rnacentral:rRNA from 1 species
ACCAGACUCCUACGGGAGGCAGCAGUGGGGAAUAUUGCACAAUGGGGGAAACCCUGAUGCAGCGACGCCGCGUGAGCGAUGAAGUAUUUCGGUAUGUAAAGCUCUAUCAGCAGGGAAGAAAAUGACGGUACCUGACUAAGAAGCCCCGGCUAACUACGUGCCAGCAGCCGCGGUAAUACGUAGGGGGCAGGCGUUAUCCGGAUUUACUGGGUGUAAAGGGAGCGUAGACGGCAAUACAAGUCGGAAGUGAAAUACCCGGGCUCAACCUGGGAACUGCUUUGGAAACUGUAUGGCUGGAGUGCUGGAGAGGUAAGCGGAAUUCCUAGUGUAGCGGUGAAAUGCGUAGAUAUUAGGAGGAACACCAGUGGCGAAGGCGGCUUACUGGACAGUAACUGACGUUGAGGCUCGAAAGCGUGGGGAGCAAACAGGAUUAGAUACCCGAGUA